rnacentral:rRNA from 1 species
UACGGAGGGGGCUAGCGUUGUUCGGAAUUACUGGGCGUAAAGCGCACGUAGGCGGCUUUGCAAGUUAGAGGUGAAAGCCCGGGGCUCAACUCCGGAAUUGCCUUUAAAACUGCAUCGCUAGAAUUGUGGAGAGGUAAGUGGAAUUCCGAGUGUAGAGGUGAAAUUCGUAGAUAUUCGGAAGAACACCAGCGGCGAAGGCGACUUACUGGACACAUAUUGACGCUGAGGUGCGAAAGCGUGGGGAGCAAACAGG